UUAUAUUGCAUACAAACUGUAUGGCCGUGGCAGGCUUCUUGCUAACUGUUCUUAUAGCUUAAAUUAAUCCAAGUCCUGCUUCUUCUCAGUGUCUGUCCCUCUCUGGUGGCCCUGGUGUGUUUAGACCUUCAACAUGACUCUGCUGAUGGGUCCCAGUGGGAUCCAUGCAUUCUAGGGGCAGAGCAUGAGUCAGCCUUUCAAACAGCCCAGUGCAUCCUGUUUGUAAGGGAAAGGAACAGCAGUCACAUACUCUAGGAAAGCUCCUGACUCUAUCUCCUGAACUACUCAACUCACUUGUGGAUAGACAGCUUUACCGUUUGAGCUGUCAUCUGAUCAAGGGGUCUGCCUGGGGAAGAAUUUCACGCACGAGAAGCCUCGGAGAUGACCCAGGUUCAGUUCCCAGCACCACAUGAU